rnacentral:rRNA from 1 species
CCUACGGGGGGCAGCAGUGGGGGAUAUUGCACAAUGGGGGGAACCCUGAUGCAGCGACGCCGCGUGGGUGAAGGAGUGCUUCGGCAUGUAAAGCCCUAUCGGCAGGGAAGAAGCAAGACGGUACCUGACUAAGAAGCCCCGUCUAAAUACGGGCCAGCAGCCGCGGGAAUACGGUGGGGGCGAGCGUUAUCCGGAUUCACUGGGUGUAAAGGGAGCGUAGACGGCAGUGCAAGCCAGGGGGGAAAGCCCGGGGGCCAAACGCGGGACUGCCCUUGAAACUGUGCGGCUAGAGUGCGGGAGGGGCAGGCGGAAUGCGUGGUGUAGCGGUGAAAUGCGUAGAUAUCAGGAGGAACACCGACGGCGAAGGCAGCCUACUGGACCGCGACUGACGUUGAGGCUCGAAAGCGUGGGGAGCGAACAGGAUUAGAUACCCCAGUAGUC